CAAUGUUCCUGCAGUGCAACA
rnacentral:miRNA from 1 species